rnacentral:rRNA from 1 species
UCCGUAGGUGAACCUGCGGAAGGAUCAUUAAAGAUUCUAAGGCUUCGGUCUUAAUUUCGGCUGUGCGCUCAGGCUGCACGCCGAUAACCUCUCACACCUGUGCACCUUUUCGGUUGCGGUUUCGGCCGCUUCCGCUUUUACAUGCAACCACGAAAAGUCUAGAAUGUGACGAGAACUAUAAAGUAACAACUUUCAACAACGGAUCUCUUGGCUCUCGCAUCGAUGAAGAACGCAGCGAAAUGCGAUAAGUAAUGUGAAUUGCAGAAUUCGGUGAAUCAUCGAAUCUUUGAACGCACCUUGCGCUCCUUGGUAUUCCAUGGAGCAUGCCUGUUUGAGUGUCACGUAAACCCUCACCCCUGCGAUGUAACAGUCGCCUGCGGUGGACUUGGACCGUGCCGGUAAUCGGCUCGUCUUGAAAUGCAUUAGCUGGCGCUUUUAGAGUGCUGGGCGAACGGUGUGAUAAUUAUCUGCGCCGACUGCCCUGGGCCUCUUCAGCGGCGCUGCUUACAGCCGUCCCUUGUGGACAACUAUUUUAAAGCUUUGGCCUCAAAUCAGGUAGGACUACCCGCUGAACUUAAGCAUAUCAAUAAGCGGAGGA